GAUGAACGCUGGCGGCGUGCUUAACACAUGCAAGUCGAACGGAAAGGCCAGUGCUUGCACUGGUACUCGAGUGGCGAACGGGUGAGUAACACGUGGGUGAUCUGCCCUGCACUUCGGGAUAAGCCUGGGAAACUGGGUCUAAUACCGGAUAGGACAAUGGUUUGGAUGCCGUUGUGGAAAGUUUUUUCGGUGUGGGAUGAGCUCGCGGCCUAUCAGCUUGUUGGUGGGGUAAUGGCCUACCAAGGCGUCGACGGGUAGCCGGCCUGAGAGGGUGUACGGCCACAUUGGGACUGAGAUACGGCUCAGACUCCUACGGGAGGCAGCAGGGGGGAAUAUUGCACAAUGGGCGCAAGCCUGAUGCAGCGACGCCGCGUGGGGGAUGACGGCCUUCGGGUUGUAAACUCCUUUCGCUAGGGACGAAGCGUAUUUGUGACGGUACCUGGAGAAGAAGCACCGGCUAACUACGUG
rnacentral:rRNA from 1 species